rnacentral:rRNA from 1 species
AGAGUUUGAUCCUGGCUCAGGACGAACGCUGGCGGUGUGCUUAAUACAUGCAAGUCGAACGAUGAGGUUCCUUCGGGAACUAUCAGUGGCGGACGGCUGAGUAACACGUAGGUAACCUGCCCUUUACUGGGGGAUAACACCGGGAAACCGGUGCUAAUACCGCAUAAGACGUGAGCUGCAAUGCUUACGUUUAAAGAUUUAUUGGUAAAGGAUGGGCCUGCGUCUGAUUAGCUUGUUGGUAGGGUAAUGGCCUACCAAGGCAAUGAUCAGUAGUUGGUCUGAGAGGAUGACCAGCCAGAGUGGGACUGAGACACGGCCCACACUUCUACGGAAGGCAGCAGUAGGGAAUUUUGCGCAAUGGGCGAAAGCCUGACGCAGCAACACCGCGUGUAGGAUGAAGGUUUUCGGAUCGUAAACUACUGUCAGCAGGGAAUAAUUUUGACUGUACCUGCAGAGGAAGCAUCGGCUAACUACGUGCCAGCAGCCGCGGUAAGAC